rnacentral:rRNA from 1 species
AUGACCGACCGCGGCAAGGACGCGGGCAUGGUCAUGGUGGCUUUCCGUGGCACGCAGGUGUUCAGCACGCAGGACUGGUCGACGGACGUGAACCUGUCGUGGUUGCGCCUAGGCGGCAUGGGCCACGUCCACGCCGGCUUCCUCAAGGCGCUCGGCCUCCAGGAGGAGGACGGCGAGGACGCCGCGCGCGCCUUCCCCAGGGACGCCCCCGCCGUCGUCCCCGCGGGGAAGGUCGUCGCCUACUACGAGCUCCGGAGGGUGCUUCGCGAGCUGCUUGCGGAGCACCCGAGGGCCCGCGUCGUCGUCACGGGCCACAGCCUCGGGGGCGCGCUUGCCGUCCUCUUCCCGGCCGUGCUGGCGCUGCACGGGGAGGGGGACAUCCUCGGCAGGCUCGGGGCCGUGCACACCUACGGGCAGCCGCGCGUCGGGGACGAGGCGUUCGUCGACUUCUUCCAAGCCAAGGUGGCGGCGUCCUACUGGCGCGUGGUGUACAGGUACGACGUUGUGCCGCGGGUGCCGUUCGACGCGCCGCCGGUGGCAGGAUUCAGCCACGGUGGGACGUGUGUGUACUACGACGGGUGGUACGACGGGCGGGUGCUCGGCGGGGAGGAGGUGCCGAACCCGAAUUACAUCGGCCUGCGGCACGCGCCAUCCAUGUAUCGCAACGCGCUGGGCGACCUGCUGAAAGCCAUGUUCCUAUGGGUCAAGGCCGGGGGUGAGUACCAUGAGGGCGCCGUGUCCCUGCUCUACCGCGGCGCCAUCGGCAUGCUCGUCCCCGGCGUUGCGUCACACAGCCCACGCGACUACGUCAACGCCAUCCGCCUCGGCCGCAUUGGCACCGCCGCCGGUUAA